UACGGAGGAUCCGAGCGUUAUCCGGAUUUAUUGGGUUUAAAGGGUGCGUAGGCGGUCAGGUAAGUUAGAGGUGAAAGCUCGAUGCUCAACAUCGAAACUGCCUCUGAUACUGUCUGACUAGAGUGUAGUUGCGGAAGGCGGAAUGUGUGGUGUAGCGGUGAAAUGCUUAGAUAUCAUGAAGAACUCCGAUCGCGAAGGCAAGUGUCCGGGGUGCAACUGACGCUGAGGCUCGAAAGUGCGGGCAUCAAACAGG
rnacentral:rRNA from 1 species